AUUGAACGCUGGCGGCAGGCCUAACACAUGCAAGUCGAACGAGUGGCGGACGGGUGAGUAAUGUCUGGGAAACUGCCUGAUGGAGGGGGAUAACUACUGGACACUGUCGCUAAUACCGCAUACCCUCAUGUGUCCCCAGAUGGGACUAGCGUGUUGGUGGGGUAACGGCUCACCAAGGCGACGAUCCCUAGCUGGUCUGAGAGGAUGAACAGCCACACUGGAACUGAGACACGGUCCAGACUCCUACGGGAGGCAGCAGUGGGGAAUAUUGCACAAGGGGCGCAAGCCUGAUGCAGCCAUGCCGCGUGUAUGAAGAAGGCCUUCGGGUUGUAAAGUACUUUCAGCGGGGAGGCGUUACCCGCAGAAGAAGCACCGGCUAACUCCGUGCCAGCCGCCGCGGUAAUAC
rnacentral:rRNA from 1 species